rnacentral:rRNA from 1 species
CAGCAGCCGCGGUAAUACGAAGGGUGCAAGCGUUACUCGGAAUUACUGGGCGUAAAGCGUGCGUAGGUGGUGGUUUAAGUCCGUUGUGAAAGCCCUGGGCUCAACCUGGGAAUUGCAGUGGAUACUGGGUCACUAGAGUGUGGUAGAGGAUAGUGGAAUUUCCGGUGUAGCAGUGAAAUGCGUAGAGAUCGGAAGGAACAUCUGUGGCGAAGGCGACUAUCUGGGCCAUUACUGACACUGAGGCACGAAAGCGUGGGGAGCAAACAGGAUUAGAUACCCCCGUAGUCCCUGUCUCUUAUAC